rnacentral:lncRNA from 1 species
AUGGAGAUUUGGCGCCAUCUGCUGGACAUCAAACACAACACAAGACUGAGAAACUUCAAUCUGGAAUUUACGUUGCUGACAGCUGAAGGUGGUGGUGGUGGUGUCCCCUUCCUGCGUGCCGUGUUGUCUACCCUGUUUUCUUGCUGUGUUCACUGUUGUGUUUUCAGUGUGUGUGUGUGUGUUCACGCGGGUGACUUCCUGGGAUUCCUCCUUGCCUUUGUGACCCCCUUCUCCUCCACUGGUAAGCCUCAGCAGCAAUUACAAUUUGUCCCUCUGUUCCCCUCCUUAAAGUAUGAAUGCGUUCUAAAUUGUUUUAAAAUUAUUGCAAUAAAGUUUGUUGUUCCUCUUUAAAAAUUGAACCUAGUCUCUGGCUGAAUUGUAUACGUGUGUCUUUAAGUGUAUUAGUAAUAUUGCAAUUAGGAAAUAAAUAAAAUUUGUUUAUUGUGUUUUAGGGGCAGGUUCCACCUAGACUAUAACCUCCUCUGUUUUGUCUGCUCUUUGCAUCGCCACAAUCAGAUUAAAAACUUGAAGGCCUGGUUUCACAAACGGGGCUUAGCUUAAGCCAGGACUAGGCCUAAGUUAAAUUAAGAUAUUUAAGUAACUUUUACAAAAAUGCCUUAGAAGAAAACGUUACAGGUGUGCAUCUUGACACAGAACAAUGACACUGACAUAUUUGAAGAUAUUUCAGAGCAAGAUAUUUUCAGCUGAGACAGCUCAGCAGGCAUCACGACAAAAGGUUGAUCUAGGUACAUGUGUGCAAAUGUACAGGUCCCCAUUCCUAUAUUUGCCUGGGGCCCCCAAUUCAUUAAAUCCCCCCUGCCUUUGAUCGGAAUGACACACACACACAAAAAGAAAUGUCACACAUUAUACAGUGGAUAACAAUUAACAACAAACUAUUUAGUUUAGUAGGGUCCACACAUUAUGUUCACCUGUUGGAGCUUAACUUUUUAAGCUUUUUUAUUUUUAUUUCAACUGCAAUUAUCAUAAAAUUCUUAAAGAUGGUAUUCUUUAUUCAUGCAUUAGUCAAGUGUUCAUGUGCCGAAUAUUAUCUGCAUGCAAAAUAAUAAAAAAAAAACACACAAUAUGCUAUAAUGCAAGGGUUUUCAAUCUGGGGUUCAGGACCAAAGCAAAGGGGUCCACAAAAUAAUUUAUACCAUAUAUUCCAGACUACAAGUCAUAUUUUUUAAUCUUCUGAGAUGUGCUGAAUUAUUCUAAGCAAAACGUAAACCCAUAAAAGCGGGCACUUACAGGUUUCUAUAGUUCUCAAGUCUGUCUGUACACAGUGGUAUUGUCUGUACCACUGUGUUUUCUACAUUUCAGAAUGAGCUUCACAGAAACUGAGAUAGCAAGUGCAUUUUAAUUAACAAAACAAAUACUGCUUGUAACUAAUGGCACUAGAAUUUUUAUUUUAUUUUAUACAUAGGCCUAAAUAUUUUUAUUUUUGUUCUGUUUUGAAUAGUAUUCAGUUUAAAUGAUUUGAAGUGAGGGAAAAUAAAAUCUUUACAGUGUUUAUAGUUUUUAAGUUUCUUAGCGUUUGUUUUAUUUAUCAGUAUUUAAAUUAUUUCUGAAAUUAAUAGUAAAAUGUGUCUUAUACACCGAUACAACUUAUGUGUUUUUUCCUGACCUGGUGCAACUUAGCCCUAUAUUGUGCUUUAUUAUUAAACAAAUGUAUUAUAAAAAAAAAAGGGGGACUAUUUAAAAAAUAAUAAUAAUAAUAAAAAAUAAAAAAAUAUUAUGUUCAUUAUACUCCCACCCACAAUAAAUUUAAGCCUUAAAAUCUGUUGUAAUUCUGAGGGUGUCCUUGAAAAUGUUCUCUGCAAGGGGUCCCUGGCACCAAAUGUUGUAAAUGUCCAGUGAUAGUGGACAGGCGUCCAGAUACAGCAGAGUCUGGUGUGCUAGGAGGAACUGUCCUGGUCAUCACAGCUGUGUUUAUUUGUAUAUAUAUAUAUAUUUAUUCACACACACACACACACACACACACACACACAGUCAUUAAAUUGAGCAAACAUGAAAGCUGCCAUAAAAGGAUUUUGUGUACAACUAAACAAAUAAAACAAACAACAAAAAAACAAUAAAAAAAUACACCUUGAAUGCAAUCUAAGUCACUUUGUAUUAAAGAACCUGUCACAUAAAUGUAAACCUUCUCCGUUCCCUCCUCCGGAAACACUCCUGUCAGGGUUCUCAAGUCUCAAACAAGACACUUCAGUUCACACAAGUUCAAUAUUUGCAGGGCUUCAUUAUGAAUUUGUUUAUAACAUUUAAGUUCACGAUGGAGUGUGUAAAGCACGUUAGCUUUCUAAAAAACAUAAGUGACAAUAAAGAAAACAAUACAUAAUAAUGAAACUUAAAGUUUUAUGAAAAUCUUCCCACCUCUACUUGUCUCUUUAAUAAAGUAUUAGAGCUGGCUUGAGGUGAAAUAUUUUAUUAACUCAUUAAACACUCAUUAAAUGAAAGUUUCCAUGAAGAAAAACAUUUUUGCAGCUUUGAAUAGAGAUGAAUGAACACAUAAAGCCCAUUUAAAGGAUAGUGUACAGUCGUAUUACUGCACACCUUUAUAACGUAAAUAAUGACAGAACAAAUGACUGAUUUUAGAACAAACUAUAUUAAAAUCUUACCAGUGUUUAUCAUAAAACACACACAUAUACAGAGAGAGAGAGAACAAAACAUUUGUUCAAGCAAACAUAUGAACAACACAGCAGUGUUACCAGAACAACUACAGUAAAGAUAAAACCUGAACCAAGAACAACUGAAAACAAGGACUACACAGACAAACGAGAUAAUUAACAGACACACAGACAUGGAUGCAUGUUUCCUGACAAUGAUUUGACUCUUAAUUAAUAAAUCAUGUGAAACAGUGUGAAUAUUGCCAACAGAUUAAAACUGAUUAUUAAAUGUUAUUUGUCAGUGUCAUCAUUUAGAUUUAAUGACUAUUUUUAAACUCUCUCUGACACAAUUAAAGACUCGAGACUCACCUGAAGAUCUUUACCAGAUUCAGGAUCUCUGAGAGAAUCAGAUUCAGAUUCAGCAGAAGAAGAUUCACAGAGUCUCAACUCAGACAUGAAUGUUGAUGUGAUUCAGUCAAACUCAGUUCAAGUCUUUCUCUCUCUAUUGAUUCACUCACCUGUUUUCUGAAUCACUGCGCUGAAAACAUCUGCCAACAGAUUAAAACUGAUUAUUAAAUGUUAUUUGUCAGUCUCAUCAUUUAGAUUUAAUGACUAUUUUAAACUCUGUCUGACACAAUUAAAGGCUCGAGACUCACCUGAAGAUCUUUUUCCGCAGCAAGAAACAGAUCAAGAGCAGAAGAACAAUGAAGAUCAGAGCAGAAAUCCACCACAACUGAUCUACACGAGCAACAGCACAAUAAAAUCACCUGAUGGACUGAAUUAAUGAACUGUGUAUCAUGCUGUCAGUCAUCCGCUGAACUCACGUGAUUCUGGAGUUUGAGUCGAUCCGCUGAAGGAGUCUGUGUCAUUAAACACUGAAAAACACAUUAGGAUUGACUUCAAUCAAAAACACAUUUUAGAUGAAUCAGGACAGAUGUGUCUCUUUUAAUGAACGUUUGCAGUUAUGACUGAUUCUCAUAUGAAAGUGUUUGAUGUGUAUGAUCUGAAAAUGGACAGAAAUGAAGCUCAGUCAUCAUUUACUCUCCUUCAUGUCACUUUAAAUAAUCUGCUUUCGUGUUUCACAGAGGAAAGUCAGUCAUAUUUGGGAUGACAUGAGGGAGAUUUCUGUGUGAACCGUCUCUUUAAAGAUCAUCAUCAUCUGACCAUCAGAAACAUCAAGAGUUGAAAUCUUUCUCUUACCUCUGAAGGCAGUCUGAUAUUUUAACUGCAAUGAAGGAAAUAAGUGUUAGAGCAUCAUUUAUAAUGUUCAUGAGUGUAGUUUAUUGUUUUUAUGUUUAAUAUCCUGAUGAACACAA